rnacentral:hammerhead_ribozyme from 1 species
CUCCGGCUGACGAGUCCCAAAUAGGACGAAACAUAAGGUCUGGAU